rnacentral:lncRNA from 1 species
UGACCUCUCACAGCUCCUUGAAGGCUGAGGCCACAUGGGAUUCAUUUUGUUCUGCUUCAACCUACCUAGGCCUCCUCUGGCAGAGCAGGGGCACAGUGAGAAUAUGUGGGUGAAAUGAGGCCUUUGGGUCUCACCGUCCUGCAGCACUGCUCACCGAAGGCCAAAGGGCUGGUGGCUGCAACAUAGUCUUGAGAUGCAUCUCUGCCUUUCCACAGGUGAGUCUCCCAGAGGACUGGGAGACACAUCCAGAAAAGGCCUGAAAGCCAAAUAAGUCAUGUUGAGGUCAUCAGGGGAGUGGAGGAUGCAAACCAUUUAUGAUCCGCAAGGUCCAGCCCAGCUCAUGCUCUGGUUCAUUCUCAGCCUCUUCCACUACAAACAUGAGAAAAUCCAGAAAGGAGGCUUUCAUCCAACCUCCCUGUGCUCCAAACAAGAACACUCUUCAUACCUGCCUGGCAAAGAGCUUGUGACCUACUCCCUCUCCGACUCAGGCGUCCUUGAUGGUGCUGGGAAUCAGGAAGUCACAUUUUUGAGUAUGAGAUUAUUUGAAGGAACAAGGAAACUUCUCAGCCUUUCUGGAGCCCUGUGCCAGGGGAGUCAUGCUGCCUUCCACGGGUGCUGUCCAGCCUCAUUGUAACUGCAUCACUUCAAGACGCGUGAAGAGCCAGGGUCCUUGGGUUCCUGCUCUGCCUUCAUCCAUCCCACACUCCCUCAGGAGCCAGGAGGCUGCCUUAGGAGGGUGAUCCUGAUCCAGGCCCCAGUGGCUCUAUGGUUCCACCUGCUGGGGAACCCUUGAGAGCUCAUCUGACCUCUUGCCACAGUGCAACACGACCCUGCAGAGGCAUCUCAAGCCAGUCAUCUCCUCACAGUGACAGUCCCUCCAUCUCCUUUCUGCCCAGCACCCUAGACCCCAGGUCCCUCCCUCAGCCUCUUACU